rnacentral:rRNA from 1 species
UACGUAGGGUGCAAGCGUUGUCCGGAAUUAUUGGGCGUAAAGAGCUCGUAGGCGGUCUGUCGCGUCGGCUGUGAAAACCCGGAGCUCAACUCCGGGCCUGCAGUCGAUACGGGCAGACUGGAGUUCGGCAGGGGAGACUGGAAUUCCUGGUGUAGCGGUGAAAUGCGCAGAUAUCAGGAGGAACACCAAUGGCGAAGGCAGAUCUCUGGGCCGUAACUGACGCUGAGGAGCGAAAGCGUGGGGAGCGAACAGG